rnacentral:rRNA from 1 species
CCUACGGGUGGCAGCAGUGGGGAAUAUUGCACAAUGGGGGAAACCCUGAUGCAGCGACGCCGCGUGAGUGAAGAAGUCAUUCGUUAUGUAAAGCUCUAUCAGCAGGGGAGAAAAUGACGGUAUCUAAGUAAGUAGCUCCGGCUAACUACGAGCCAGCAGCCGAGGUAAUACGGAGGGUGCAAGCGUUAUCCGGAUUUACUGGGUGUAAAGGGAGCGUAGACGGAAGUGAAAGUCUGGAGUGAAAGGCGGGGGCUCAACCCCCGGAUUGCGCUGGAAACUGUACGGCUGGAGUGCAGGAGAGGUAAGUGGAAUUCCUAGUGUAGCGGUGAAAUGCGUAGAUAUUAGGAGGAACACCAGUGGCGAAGGCGGCUUACUGGACUGUAACUGACGUUGAGGCUCGAAAGCGUGGGGAGCAAACAGGAUUAGAUACCCCUGUAGUC